GACGAACGCUGGCGGCGUGCUUAACACAUGCAAGUCGAACGGAAAGGCCCUGCUUUUGUGGGGUGCUCGAGUGGCGAACGGGUGAGUAACACGUGAGUAACCUGCCCUUGACUUUGGGAUAACUUCAGGAAACUGGGGCUAAUACCGGAUAGGAGCUCCUGCUGCAUGGUGGGGGUUGGAAAGUUUCGGCGGUUGGGGAUGGACUCGCGGCUUAUCAGCUUGUUGGUGGGUAGUGGCUUACCAAGGCUUUGACGGGUAGCCGGCCUGAGAGGGUGACCGGCCACAUUGGGACUGAGAUACGGCCCAGACUCCUACGGGAGGCAGCAGUGGGGAAUAUUGCACAAUGGGCGGAAGCCUGAUGCAGCAACGCCGCGUGCGGGAUGACGGCCUUCGGGUUGAAAACCGCUUUCGCCUGUGACGAAGCGUGAGUGACGGUAAUGGGUAAAGAAGCACCGGCUAACUACGUG
rnacentral:rRNA from 1 species